AACGAGCUCAUCUAUGAACCACAGAAAUUUGCCUUUAUGAAUUGCCAUAAAUUUUGCACAUACAUUAUGUGUAGAUACAAUACAGAUCAUGGUUUACACCUUCACUUGGUUCACUUUUCGACAUGAGGUGCUAGCUGCAUCCAUGACCAGGGCACCAAACACCUCUGAAAACGUUAAGAAACUUCUACAGAAGACAUUUUUCCCUGUGCUGUCAUCUCUGUGUACAUCUCAUCCAAUAUGCUGGCAGUUCAGUAGCUUGCCCUACUAGUCUAUACAUUCUACAGGCACAGGCAUCAAAACUGUGCAUUGUAAAUGCAAACUGGGAACAAACCUCCAUUGCAACAAAAGGCAAAUUUUUCACACACAUUUGUUUACAAAAAUAGCCACUACUGUUUACAGGAAUGAUACUGGAACAACAAAAAUGACUGCUUCCACUGCAAUGCUGUGCCUCAAAUGUCAGAAGUUUCUCAUGUCAUUUAUCUUACCUGCAGCAGACAGCUCUCACAGUGCUGAAGCCAGAGCGAAUUGGCAUGUGGAAGGCGUAGAAUACAUGAAUCUCAAAAUGAAUGCAAUGACAUUUCUAAAAAAUGACUCACUGCGCAACAAUUUCCAUAUUAUAUAAAAUAUAUAUUUCACUAACUUCUUUAUUACAAACAUUUUUCUGUAGUGUAUAUUUAGAGAAAUGCAAGAAAAAAUAGCUUUGUUAACAAUUAAACUGUAUCUUCAUACUAAUGGAAAGAACUAUUGGUACUGAGUUGUUUUUUCUGUUGUUGAAGGUAAUACAUACAAAAUGGAAGAAUUACACAGAGUAUGAAUUAUGUAACACACAUGAAAGAUACAAUAAAUGCAUACAAAAUUUAA